CAGGCCACAUUGGAUGGGGCUUGGAACAACCUGGGAUAGUGGAAGGUGUCCCUGCCCAUGGCAGGGGGUUGGAAUUGGAUAAUGUUUUUAAGGUUCAUUCCAACCCAAACCAUUCUCUGAUUCUAUAAUUUAGAAUAUAUUAUGUCUGACCCAAAUGUCAACAAAACUUGAAAAAUUCUAUUUGAAUGUGAACUUCUGAUCUUUCUCAGGAAUAUGUUGGUGAAAUGCUGGCUUGGACUGUGAGCGUUCCUGAGGCACGGUUUGUAUCUCUGUACUGAGUGUAGAACCAUUCAAUAAACAACAGUUUGUGACCAAACUAAUCAAGUCUUGUUUCUGAUUUCUAGCAUAAAAAUCCUGUCCCCAUGGAUGUAUCUGUUACAGCCGGCACAAUUAGGAGGUUCAUGGCACAUCGCCCACCGAGCUGCUUGUUAAUCAGCCCUGAAACUUGAAGCCAUCCUGGCUGUGCUGGAUCCUUGCAUCUGUGCCCCAUCCCCCUGUGCAAACCCUUACAGGGAAACUGUGGAAAUGAGUGGAAGAAAUGAGCAGUGGAGGUCACUUUGGUGAGCCUUUUUAUGAUGGCCUGUUGUGUUAACUGCGCAAAGUUAACAGUAGAGAAGCUCUAGAGUGGGACAGUCACAGUAAGUCAUUUUAGUAUCUAAUCUCUCUUUAAACAGACAUGCUGUGAGGUAGAAACAUUUCAUUUUUUAGAUCAUUGUUCAAAGCAGCAGUACUUGUGUUAUCUGUACUUUGUUAGUAUCAAAGGUUUUGUAGAUGCAGCACAGGAGAUUUGCCUGGGGAAGUGCAUUUGAGUCUUAGCUUGAGCAAAUUAAAGGCUUCUUAAUUUAAAAGCAAUUAAAAGCAUUAAGGAACUCUAAACUGACACUGGUGGAAUUCUAAGUGAUGGCUGUAAGUAAAUUAGUAAAAACAGUACACUUAAACACUUGAAAAUGUGUGUAGUGUAUUAGUUGCAGAAUGUCCAGAAAUCUUGCCCAAAGUCUUCCAUACAUGUGGCACUUGAUAAGAAAAAGCAAAUUUAAGAGUGUCUGUAUCUUACAGUUCUAUUUAUAAGAAGAGCAGAAUGAGUAACUGUUGAAUGUAUCACGUGGCUUCCUUCAGAGAUAAAGUAAGAUUCUUGGGAUAAGAAAGGUAGUUUUAUAUUCUGUUCAGUAAUCACAUACUGCUCUUGACAUACUUCAUUUUUUGUAGCUAAAAGAACUCGGAGUACAUGUACAAUUGCAGCCAAAAUACCGUAGAAAUAUUAAAAAUACUGGAUCUUAUUCUAACACCGAGCUCCUUUCUAUGUGAUGAAGUGCAGUGCUACUGUGUCAUACCUUGCAGGUGUUCAGGAGACUUUUGGCUUUUAUUGUUGUCUCCACUGUUUAGUUGUUUCUUUUCCCCCUCUCUCUCUUUUUUUUUUUUUUAAUGCUCUUCCCCUUAGUGUUUCUAUUCUGUAGUUAUAUAGGUAACACUUCUGCAGUGGUGGUUCAGAUUCUCUGUCUGUGUGGAACUGCAGUAUUUCUGUACAGAUGAAGGUCACAUGCUUCCCAUAAAGAUUUAUUAUCUAAGUGAUUGCAAACUGCUCAGAGGAAUGUGGUAAAAAGCUGUGAAGUGCAGGUGUAAAGAGAAAAAAUCCCAAUGAAUGUGAAGUUGAUAACAAAAAUCUUCAGCCAGUAAUAGCUGGAAUAUAAAACUGAAAGAUCAAACCUUUCUUGCUCACAGAGAAAAUUGUGCUUCACUGUUAAACUAUCAGAAUCAAGUUCCUUCAUUUUUAUAAUCAUAUGUGUGAGAGAGGGAAAAUAAAAAAAAAUCCCAACAUGAAUGAAUCCUGUUAUUGUUAAAUGCUUACAUGCAGUUUCCUCAGCUCUGGGACAUUCCUGUCCUCAAGUUCAGAAAAUGGACAUUCAAUUAUUGGAACGUAACUUCAUGCUGAUUUUAAUCAUUGCCUUGUGAGGGUUCCCACUGGAGAAGACACAAAGCCUGGCAACCCUCAGGAAGCCUGAAUUGAUGCAUUCAAUCCACUGAAGUUCAGUGCUGAUUUCUUGAAUCUGCUUUGGGUAUGUUUUGCAGCAGUGCAGUAUCUUCUGGACAUGAGUAAUGAUGAAAAUAUUUAUGAUGUAGAGCACUCUGUCAGAAAUACUUGUGUGAGAAAAAUCUCAGGAUUGGGAUUUCUAUCAGCUCUGCAAAAAUAAUACUCAAUUUGUAGUUGCUCUUCCCAGUAACACCAGUAAAGUGAUCCAUGCUCAGCUGGCCAAGCUCUUGGCAGCAGCCUCAGUGAUCUCCAGGGAGGAGCAGCCCCAUUUUUCCUGAAUAAACUAUGUCCAGACUUUGUUGUGCUUUGUGGCUGCAGAUCUGAGCUACAAUCCCGCGUGUUCCCCAGUGUGUGCAGGAAUCAGUGAUGCAUUAGCUGAGUGUGGUGUUGGCAGCCCAGCACCACGAGAGGAGUUUCAGUUCUCAGCUGAUGGAGCUGCUGCUUUCCCCCAACCCAUAAGCUGUGCCAUCUAUCAGGCAAUCUUUUAAUGCCAGACUAAAAUGUUCCUUGUUUUGAGACUGAUUUGGUAACUCUGUGUUUGGACAGAACCAGAGCUGUGUUGUAAGAGGCUAUUUUUAUUCUUUCUGGUAUGUAAUUUUAUGAUAGCUGACAUAUUUGUAUCAAAUGUUAAUAUUGGCUAAUUUAGGAACUGUGUGCUUAUUGCCAGGAUUUACUUAAGCAUGAAUUCUAAAGCCAGUUUCUGCAUGUUUUGGCACGUGCUGUUAAAUUAUCUGAAUAUAGAUGUUUAAUUUCUAUUUUGUUACCUAACAAAGGGAUGCAGGAUAUGGAAUUUGAUUACAAAUACACUGAAUUUCUUGUAUUAUUUCUCAGGACUGCAAGUGCACAUUGGUGACGAUAGUUACAGCUAUCCUGGGGAAGUCAUGCAGUGUUGCAAAACUACUGCACAGCACUGCAGAGAAGCUGAAGAUUUUUGCAGCAGCUUUAAUUUAGAUGUGGCAAAGGAUUCUGUCAUCACCUGCAAUCAAGUGAUCAGUCUGUCUUUCAAAACUUGAAGUAGGUGCUUGAAGUCAAAUGGGAAUUUAGUUACUGUUCUGGGUUGCACUGUUCACAGCUGCUGAAGGAGAGUGUUCUUACGUAUUUUUCGAAAUAACACUUUGUCUCUUGAUGCCAGCAGUAAAGGUGAAGGACUAGAUCUUUAGAACUACCUGUCAUUAGUUCUCUUCCAGGCUUUCUGAAUAAUUUUCCUGACAGGCACAAGACACUGGUUAGUGUGUACAGAAAUAUAUCCUGAAAUACAGAGAAAUGUAGAAAAAUGUACAGGCUGCAUCAGUGCAUCAACCAUUCCAGUGUUGUAAACUUAAAUUUUUAAACUGUCUAUGCUUUUUAACUGGCUUCUGAAUUAUCUCCGCAGCAUGCAGCCUUUUUUCCUAGCUUCUGAGAUGUAAACCUUAUUACUGAUGUAAAUUCUUUAUCUCUGGAAGUUUUGAUCUUUCAAGUGGAGAAAAGAUGUUUUUUCUACAGGAUUGAAGGAGGGGUUUUGUGGGUAAAUACAGUCAGUUACCCAUCUAUAGAUCAAAUACAUUUUAUGUUCUUGAAAUAAACUUAAAUGGAAAACGUUUUAACUUGUACCUGAAUCUCUAAAUAGUCUGUAUUCUUCCUAACAAAGUCAAGUCUCUAGUUUAUAAUUACUGCUGCUUUAGUAAACUCCCAUUUAAAUCAAACAUAUGGGGUAAAACUUGAAAGCAAAACCCAUGUGGGUUUGGGAGUGGCAAUUACUUAUUUCAUUGCUAUGAAAACCAACAGGGGGGAAAAAGUCUUUGAAGUUUUGCAUGUUGUGUUUGAAGAAUCUUACUGCAGUCUUUUGAGUAAAUUAAGAUGCUUAAAUAGAAGAUAUUCCUCCUUAAAUAUUUAACUUCUAAGAUCUACUUUGUUGCAACAGUGUGGUCACUUUUUCAGCCUUUUGUGAUACCGCACUGGGAGUAAAUGUUUACUGAAGAGAUGCCUAAUGUUACCCAUACCUAUGAAGUGAGUUGCUGCUGACAUUGGAGAGCUGAAAUGGGUGCUUCACUUUGGUAUAGAGAACUGACUUUGGCUGGAUUAAUUUGUCUACCUGUGUUAGUAGAUACUUGUUUUUCAGUAGUUUGAGUGAUCUGUCAUGGGCAAUCUGAGAAUCUUCCUUGUUUAUCCUGUAAUCUUACCUGUUGAUAGUUUAUAUCUUGGUAGGGUUGGUUUUUUUUUUCCCACUGCCUCCUUGUAAGACUUUUUGCUGCAACCAUGUAACAAAGUACAAGAAGGAAAUAAAGCUGUUAUGAGCUGUGUUCUCAUA